AGAGUUUGAUCAUGGCUCAGAAUCAACGCUGGCGGCGCGCUUAACACAUGCAAGUCGCACGAGAAAGGGAGCAAUCCUGAGUAAAGUGGCGCACGGGUGAGUAACACGUGGAUUAUCUACCUUUUAGUGGGGAAUACCUCUGGGAAACCGGAGACAAUACCGCAUAAGCCUGUAAAGGGAAAGCAGCAAUGCGCUGAAAGAGGAGUCCGCGGCCGAUUAGCUAGUUGGCGGGGUAACGGCCCACCAAGGCGAAGAUCGGUAGCCGGCCUGAGAGGGCACACGGCCACACUGGCACUGAAACACGGGCCAGACUCCUACGGGAGGCAGCAGUGGGGAAUCUUGCACAAUGGGCGAAAGCCUGAUGCAGCGACGCCGCGUGAGCGAUGAAGCCCUUCGGGGUGUAAAGCUCUUUCGACGGGAACGAUAAUGACGGUACCCGGAGAAGAAGCUGCGGCUAACUACGUGCCAGCAGCCGCGGUAAUACGUAGGCAGCGAGCGUUGUUCGGAAUUACUGGGCGUAAAGAGUGUGUAGGCGGUGUUCCCAGUCUGUUGUGAAAUCUCCCGGCUUAACUGGGAGGGUGCAGCGGAAACUAGAAUGCUAGAGGGUGGGAGAGGUAAGCGGAAUUCCUGGUGUAGCGGUGAAAUGCGUAGAUAUCAGGAGGAACACCUGGUGUAGACAGCUUACUGGACCACUUCUGACGCUGAGACACGAAAGCGUGGGUAGCAAACAGGAUUAGAUACCCUAGUAGUCC
rnacentral:rRNA from 1 species